CUCGUAGGUGGCCAACUAAGUCAGACGUGAAAUCCCCAGGCUUAACCUGGGAACUGCGUCUGAUACUGGAUGGCUUGAAUUCGGGAGAGGGAUGCAGAAUUCCAGGUGUAGCGGUGAAAUGCGUAGAUAUCUGGAGGAAUACCGGUGGCGAAGGCGGCAUCCUGGACCGAGAUUGACACUGAUGAGCGAAAGCAGGGAGCAAACG
rnacentral:rRNA from 1 species